UACGUAGGGUCCAAGCGUUGUCCGGAUUUACUGGGUUUAAAGGGUGCGCAGGCGGGCUUGCAAGUCGGUGAUGAAAUGUCAGGGCUCAACCUUGGCGCUGUUGCCGAAACUGCAAGUCUUGAGCGUGGUUGAGGUAUCUGGAACGAGUGGUGUAGCGGUGAAAUGCGUAGAGAUCACUCAGAACACCAAUUGCGAAGGCAGGAUACUGGGCCAUAGCUGACGCUCAGGCACGAAAGCGUGGGGAUCAAACAGG
rnacentral:rRNA from 1 species